CUCCAUCGCAGUAACGGCUGCUAAACAUUUUGAGAUUCUUCUUCAAAACAUCUCCCCCUUUUUCUACUUUUUGAAAAAAAAUCCUUUGAUUAUCUUAUCUUAUAUUUGUUGGUGUUUGUUGAAUUAAAGCAGGAGCAACCUUCGAACGAGGAAACACGUGUCAGACGUGAAAAAUGUUACACACCCAUCGAUUUCCGAUGUUAAAUCGAGUCGUUUUGAGAAGAAGCUGAAGAAACAGAGGAUGGAACCGGAUAUCGAGAGCGGGAAUGCUGAGAAAGAAACUUGUUUAGAAACAGACUCGUUAAGUGAAGACGUUGGUUUAGGAACCGAUCAGUCGAGUGAUUCGCGUUGGAAGGAAAAGAGGAAUGACAUUUCCUCUGUUGAUGAAAAGCAAAGCGAUUCUCUCGUUGAAUCAGAAGCCAUCUCAUUAAUGAAGGAUACACGUUCGGAAAGAGAUCAAGUGUACGGACCCCGAAGAGUCCAUUGAAUGAACAAUCGGCUCUUUUAGUUGACAAUUUAGAUAAGGAACAUACAACGGGUUCUGAAAAUGGGUCCAUUGGAGUACCGGUCGGGCAAGCUCCUGUACAGGUUUCAGAGGUAGCAUUGGGCAACAGCACAGCUGUUGCAAAAGAUGAUGGUACACCAACAGCUAAUGUAUCUCCUUCGAACUUGGCUGUCGCUACAGAUGAUGCUACUCCAAGAGCUAAUGUUAAAGAGAACAAUUUCUCACUAACGUUGCACACUUCAUUUCAACGAAAUUGUAUAAGGCGUCCCAAGAAAAAGCUUCUUGUUCUUGAUUUGAAUGGAAUUCUUGUAGAUGUUGUUCAAAUACCAUGUAAACUCGAGCCACAUGCCAUAGUAAAUGGGAAAGGAGUUUUCAGGAGACUUUUCUGUGACGAAUUUCUCGACUUUUGCUUUAGGACAUUUAACGUCGGAAUCUGGUCAUCAAGAGUUCAUAAAAUGUGAUGGGAGUGCUUGAUCUUCUUAUGAAAAAAAACAGAGAGGUGAACUGGUUUUCUGUUAUGUAAGCAACAUUCCCUGUCUUAUUCAACUAUUGCUAAUAAAUGGGGUAAUUGCCAAAGUUUUGAUUAGCUAAUUAGGGAUCAUAUCAUUUCCUUGUCUUUUUAGUCUAUAUGGCCUUCAAUCAAUGAACUACACUUGCAUGAUUUGUUAAUCAAGUAAGGUGGUUUUAUCUUUUGGUAAUUUUCGUUCUGUUGAUAUUUUGUAACUGGUAAGAAUUA